CAUCAAAAACCUUUUCUUUUGUGGAAAGGAUUUUUUUGGACUUGGAGGUUCUAUGCUUGCUUUUGAAAGCGAGCUCCUCUCAAAUGAAUUAGUGGGGUCCGCUUUGCUGAUCCUUGACGUGAUAAGAUGUUUCUACGUUUUGGAUUUAGCACUGUCCCUUGGACACCUGCUCCUAACCGUCCGUCGGACAACGAUGGUGCUUCGGUCACCGCCAUGUUACAUUGGCGGGAGGCCGGACCCACAAUAAACCGACC
rnacentral:misc_RNA from 1 species